rnacentral:lncRNA from 13 species
GCAGUGAUAAAUGCGUUGAAGGAAAGAAAGAAAUCCCCAAACUGAAAAACUACUUUUAAAUAACAUGUUGUACUCCUAAAUUGAAUUAUACUAAUAUUAAUCUUGUCACUGAUAUUGGUAGAGACACAUAUAUUAAUAUAUUUUAAAUACAGAUGAAUACUUUAUUUAGAAACACAUGUUUCCUUUUAAGUAGAGGUGAUAGUACAUUUUCAAAGCACUCAAAUAUUAAAACUGUCUAACUUUCAAUUAAGAACAGUUUUUUUAAAUCAGAAAAAAACACAAUUUUUGCAUUUUUAAAGAACUUCCAGAAAAAAGUGCCUAUUACAGCUUCUCUAAGAAAACUAUGUAAGUAUUUUUUUAAAUGGUAAUAUUAUUCAGUAUUUUUACUACCCUUAAAAAGAAAACGAGAAACCAGAGACAAGGCUGUAUCAUCCAUUUUAAAGAAUUCUGAACUCAAAAUUGCUCUGUUGUCCAAGUGUCUCUGAAAUUCCUGGGGGAGUCAGAGGAUUAGUGGAGCUUCGGUUUGUACGUUUUCCAGUUACUGACCUUUUUUGGAGGCACUUCUAAACUUCAGGGUUUCGCCAGUUGUGAAAUACGGGCGGCAUAGUAGGGAACCAGCACUAUUGCAUCAAUAGAAGCAGGAAUCGGACCACAGUCCAGAGAACAAUGUCCCACGGGUGCCAGUUUCUGUAAAGCCAUAAAUCUUGGGGCAUCCCUAGAAUGUAUUCCGUUUCCGGUGGAGGAACUGCUACGGAGUUGCCAAACCUGCCUUCUGCUCUCUCGAAGUUCUUUGUCAGGAAGAUAUCAUCAACGGAGGAAAAAUGCAAAUGCACUUGUAGCCACGGACAUUUCUGUGUGUCUGUGAGGGUGUUGCCGAAGAAGAUGAACACUUGAGACAAUGGACUGGGAGAGGCAGAGCCACCCUCCCUCUGGGUGGGCACCCAGCUGCCAGCGCAGCUGCAAGCGCAGCUAGAAUCAGCUUCCAGCACAGCUAGAGUAAAGCAGGCAGAGGAACGCGGAAGGGUUAGACUGCCUGAGUCUCCCGACCUUCGUCUUUCCCCUGUGCCGGAUGCUUCCUGCCCUCAAACAUCGGACUCCAGGUUCUUCAGCUUUUGGACUCUUGGACUCACACCAGGGGUUUGCCAGGGGCUCUCGGGCCUUUGGCCACAGACUGAAGGCUGCGCUAUCGGCGUCCCUACUUUUGGGGAUUGGGACUUGUACUGGCUUCCUUGCUCCUCGGCUUGCAAACAGCCUACUGUGGGACCUCACCCUGUGAUCAUGCUUGCCAGUCAUUUGCACACAGAGAAAACCAAUUGAGAGGAGAAGAGAGAGAGAAAACCUAGGUUUCCCGACAAUGUAAGUUACAUCUUAGUAUGA